rnacentral:rRNA from 1 species
GACGGAGGGUGCAAGCGUUGUUCGGAAUCACUGGGCGUAAAGCGCGUGUAGGCGGUUUGAUAAGUAGAAUGUGAAAGCCUGAGGCUCAACCUCGGAAGUGCAUUCGAAACUGUCAGGCUUGAGUACGGGAGGGGGAAGUGGAAUUCCUGGUGUAGAGGUGAAAUUCGUAGAUAUCAGGAGGAACACCGGUGGCGAAGGCGGCUUCCUGGACCGAUACUGACGCUGAGACGAGAAAGCGUGGGGAGCAAACAGG